CAAGUCGUACGGUAACAGGUCCAGCAAUGGAUGCUGACGAGUGGCGCACGGGUGCGUAACACGUAUGUAACCUACCUUUGACUGGGGGAUAGCCCCGAGAAAUCGGGAUUAAUACCCCAUACCAUUACGGUGAGGCAUCUCACUGUAAUCAAAGCUCCGGCGGUCUUAGAUGGGCAUGCGCGACAUUAGCUUGUUGGUGAGGUAACGGCUCACCAAGGCAACGAUGUCUAGGGGUUCUGAGAGGAUUAACCCCCACACUGGUACUGAGACACGGACCAGACUCCUACGGGAGGCAGCAGUAAGGAAUAUUGGGCAAUGGACGCAAGUCUGACCCAGCCAUGCCGCGUGCAGGAUGAAGGCCCUACGGGUUGUAAACUGCUUUUGUACGGGAAAAAACCUCCGGUCGCGUACCGGAGUUGAUGGUACCGUAAGAAUAAGCAUCGGCUAACUCCGUGCCAGCAGCCGCGGU
rnacentral:rRNA from 1 species